rfam:Synechococcus sp. CC9311, complete genome.
UCACUUGUGAGGAGGGCUUCUUCGCGGAGUGGAAACUAGGCAACACGCCCAACGAGAAGCCGAGA